rnacentral:rRNA from 1 species
GAAGGGACCUAGCGUAGUUCGGAAUUACUGGGCUUAAAGAGUUCGUAGGUGGUUAAAAAAGUUGGUGGUGAAAUCCCAGAGCUUAACUCUGGAACUGCCAUCAAAACUUUUUAGCUAGAGUAUGAUAGAGGAAAGCAGAAUUUCUAGUGUAGAGGUGAAAUUCGUAGAUAUUAGAAAGAAUACCAAUUGCGAAGGCAGCUUUCUGGAUCAUUACUGACACUGAGGAA